CAGAACAAUAACUAAAGCAUAGAAGGAAGGCUAAAAUAAGAAUUCAGAAACUAUAAACCGGCUCUCUUCUAGCUUACGACACAAACUAUGAGUGAGAAAAGGACAAAUGAUUCGCUCUUUGCUUCAUUUUUUCCGAGGUUGUCACAACAUGAAAUGUCAUUUGGACCUAUUGGACUCAUUUUAACUCGGCCAAAUACAUAGUAACAUACAUAAGAAGAUUUUACUUAUAUUUACCGAACUAUUUGACACGGUCGCGUCAACUGUGUUUACGAGUGUCUUGUGUUCAGAUUGUUUUAAGUGAUAAUUUAACAAUAUUUUUCCAAAUAAAUGGAAAGAAACUUUUAUUUAUAUCAAAUAAUUGAGUGUCUCGACUGUGUGACAUUAUGUCUUGUGUGGUAUGGGGCUGCAGCUCACAUUCAGGAAGAAAAGAAAAUAGCCAACAACUUCUGUCGUUUCAUCGAUAUUAAAUCCAAAAGUGUCGACUGGAUUUACAUGAAAAGUCAGUUCAAGAAGACGAGAUGAAAAAUUUAAAAGAAAAGCUGAACAAGUCCCGCCUCAAGAUCAAACGACUUAAUGAAAAAAAAAACAAUGUGACAGGGUGUCACAAAGACAGUUUCUAAGCAAAUUGACACUGUUUAGAAAUUAAUAAAUUUGUAUUUAUUGUAAAUAUAAUGUACAUAAUUAAUAACGUG